UGCCAGCAGCCGCGGUAAUACGGAGGGGGCUAGCGUUGUUCGGAAUUACUGGGCGUAAAGCGCGCGUAGGCGGAUUGUUAAGUCGGGGGUGAAAUCCCGGGGCUCAACCCCGGAACUGCCCUUGAUACUGGUAAGCUAGAGGAUGUGAGAGGUGAGUGGAAUUCCGAGUGUAGAGGUGAAAUUCGUAGAUAUUCGGAAGAACACCAGUGGCGAAGGCGACUCACUGGCUCAUUUCUGACGCUGAGGCGCGAAAGCGUGGGGAGCAAACAGGAUUAGAUA
rnacentral:rRNA from 1 species